rnacentral:rRNA from 1 species
CGGACUCAACGCCGGGAAACUCACCAGAUAAGACAGCUGAAUGAUAGUCGGGCGUGAAGACUCUACUUGACUAGCUGAGAGGAGGUGCAUGGCCGUCGUCAGUUCGUACUGUGAAGCAUCCUGUUAAGUCAGGCAACGAACGAGACCCACGCCAACAGUUGCCAGCUCGUCCUCCGGGAUGGUGGGGACACUGUUGGGACCGCCUCUGCUAAAGAGGAGGAAGGAAUGGGCAACGGUAGGUCAGUAUGCCCCGAAUAUCCCGGGCUACACGCGAGCUACAAUGGUUGGUACAAUGGGUAUCUACCCCGAAAGGGGACGGGAAUCUCCUAAAACCAAUCUUAGUUCGGAUUGAGGGCUGCAACUCGCCCUCAUGAAGCUGGAAUCCGUAGUAAUCGCGUUUCAACAGAACGCGGUGAAUACGUCCCUGCUCCUU